rnacentral:rRNA from 1 species
GACGAACGCUGGCGGCGUGCCUAAUACAUGCAAGUCGAACGAAGCUUUUUUAACUGGUGCUUGCACCGACUUAAACAACUGAGUGGCGAACGGGUGAGUAACACGUGGGUAACCUGCCCCAAAGCGGGGGACAACAUUUGGAAACAGAUGCUAAUACCGCAUAACCACAGAGACCACAUGGUUUCUGUGUCAAAGAUGGUUUCGGCUAUCACUUUGGGAUGGACCCGCGGCGUAUUAGCUAGUUAGUAAGGUAAUGGCUUACCAAGGCAAUGAUACGUAGCCGAACUGAGAGGUUGAUCGGCCACAUUGGGACUGAGACACGGCCCAAACUCCUACGGGAGGCAGCAGUAGGGAAUCUUCCACAAUGGACGAAAGUCUGAUGGAGCAACGCCGCGUGAGUGAAGAAGGUUUUCGGAUCGUAAAACUCUGUUGUCAGAGAAGAACGUGUGCGAGAGUAACUGUUCGUGCAGUGACGGUAUCUGGCCAGAAAGCCACGGCUAACUACGUGCCAGCCGCCGCAGUAA